rnacentral:rRNA from 1 species
GACGAACCGUGCGAACGUUGUUCGGAAUCACUGGGCUUAAAGGGCGCGUAGGCGGGCAGGCAAGUCAGGGGUGAAAGCCCACGGCUCAACCGUGGAAGUGCCUUUGAUACUGCUUGUCUUGAGGGAGGUAGGGGCGUGCGGAACUUCCGGUGGAGCGGUGAAAUGCGUAGAUAUCGCUUGGAACGCCAAAGGUGAAAACAGGUUGCUGGGGUUGUGCCGACGCUGAGACACGAAAGCCAGGGGAGCAAACGGG